CGCGUAGGCGGAUCGUUAAGUCAGAGGUGAAAUCCCGGAGCUCAACUUCGGAACUGCCUUUGAUACUGGCGAUCUUGAGUGUGAGAGAGGUAUGUGGAACUCCGAGUGUAGAGGUGAAAUUCGUAGAUAUUCGGAAGAACACCAGUGGCGAAGGCGACAUACUGGCUCAUUACUGACGCUGAGGCGCGAAAGCGUGGGAGCAAACA
rnacentral:rRNA from 1 species